rnacentral:tRNA from 1 species
GUUCCGGUAUUGCAUGCCCUAGUGGUUAGUGACCCUGACUACUGAGCCGAUGGUCCCGGGUUCGAUUCCCGGCUGGGGCA